rnacentral:rRNA from 1 species
CCUACGGGAGACAGCAGUGAGGAAUAUUGGUCAAUGGACGAGAGUCUGAACCAGCCAAGUAGCGUGAAGGAUGACUGCCCUAUGGGUUGUAAACUUCUUUUAUAUGGGAAUAAAAUGUUCCACGUGUGGGAUUUUGUAUGUACCAUAUGAAUAAGGAUCGGCUAACUCCGUGCCAGCAGCCGCGGUAAUACGGAGGAUCCGAGCGUUAUCCGGAUUUAUUGGGUGUAAAGGGAGCGUAGGUGGAUUGUUAAGUCAGUUGUGAAAGUUUGCGGCUCAACCGUAAAAUUGCAGUUGAAACUGGCAGUCUUGAGUACAGUAGAGGUGGGCGGAAUUCGUGGUGUAGCGGUGAAAUGCUUAGAUAUCACGAAGAACUCCGAUUGCGAAGGCAGUUCACUGGACUGCAACUGACACUGAGGCUCGAAAGUGUGGGUAUCAAACAGGAUUAGAUACCCUUGUAGU